AAAUACAUACAUAUAUUAUAGAGUCUGAGAGGCUCGAUAUUUUAUGGGAUAAAAGUUUUAUCGCUUGCGGCAUGCAUUCGAUUUUUUCCUUAGAAUUUAAUUUGGGGAAACAUAAAUAUUUUAAUUAUUAUUUUAUUUUUGUUCCACUCACUCUAACGUUAUUAAAUGUUUUCCCCUGGGCCCUUCGUUUUAAAUUGCCCAGUCUGCAGAGUUCGGGUUGGAUCUAGUAGGAGACGAGGCAUAGUCACCCGCAUUUCUGCCAGUUUUCGCCAGUAGGUUACCUGUUCAACCUACUCGUGUUUUCUUGCUUCCGCUUGUGUUUAGUAGCUCUGAAUACUUUAGAAUUUUUGUAUAUUAUGUGAUGUUCAGAAGUGUUAAAUUAAGAGUGUAAUAUGAAAUUUUCGAGUUAGGGUUGUCCAUCUGCAAGGGAGAUUUUCUUAAUCUUUUCAGUAAAUUUUCCUUGGAGGUGGUCCCCGCACGACUUACUCUGGGUUUCAGGGUGAAAUUCGGGGUGGGUCGUGUCAUCCCGACUCUUAAAUUUUUACUUUAUUUAUUAGCUUGGUAUUAAUAAGAGUUUUACCGUCUUCGUCAAUGAAUUUAUAGUUUCAAAGGUCCCUAGAGGGGUUUUAAGGGACGAUUAUUUCGGAGGAAUUAUUCGUAAGAGAAAAUGUGACGACGGUAAAAAUGUUUAAAUUUUGGCUAGUAAAAGGUAAUUUUUAUUAUGGUAUUUUUAUUGGGGUGUUUUAUGUUAUGAAGUGUGGGUAUUAAGGAGUGGACCGGGUCACAUUUUAGUGGAAAAAGCUCACUCUCUCUUUCUCUUCUCUCCCUCUCCCUCUUCCCCUGAGCCCUCUCCCCGCCGUCCGGCCACCUGAGACCGCCGCUCCAGUCCCGAUCAGUCGGCCUCCGACCCAGCUCCUAUCCUAGACCGGUGAGAGCUCCCCUAGUGGCGCCGUGAGGGAGAGUUGCCGCCCGAAAGUCCCGACUGCCCCCAUCCUUUGUUUUUCCAAGAAUAUUCAACAAAGUUCCUAUAAGGAUCUCAAAAACAUUUUUCUCGAUAUGCAUGACAUCAAGGCAAUGCUGAACAGGGAGAAACUUCCAAUAUUCCAGAUAGUUUGCUUCUUGAUGAUAAAUUGAUAGUUUGAGCCUUACUUGCAGCUUCCUGAUAGUUUGCUUCUUGAACAAAAUAAAGGUCACACCUGUAUACACAAGGUAUACAGAAUCAGAUUAUUUGCACAAAAGUAAGAGAUAAGGACAUAAGCUGAUGGACUUUCCUGAGAGCUCUCCAUUCGGAAUCUGCCAGCGCCAUAUCCACAGCAUUCUAGACCAAAUGAAAGACCAACAGUGACUAACUAAUAUAAAGUAAACACAGCUUUCGCAAUCAAGAUUUCAUCUUCCGAAGAGAAAUGCUACUCUAAAUAUACCCAAGAGUAGAGCAGAGCUCACAGUAGCAGCAGUUGGAGGAAACCUAUUUACAGAUAAUCAGUAAACCAAAUCUUCAAUCAAUUGGGGAAAUGCAUGAUUUUACGAGAUCAUUUUUACUUGACCAGAUAACACAAAAAGUUCCUAUAGGUUUGUG
rnacentral:lncRNA from 1 species